AUGGACUCAAUUCUUUCUAAUGGAACUUGGGAACUAACUGAUAGACCAUAUGGUUGUAAACCUGUGGGCUGUAAGUGGGUGUUCAAAAAGAAGCUAAAGCCUGAUGGUACUAUUGAUAAGUACAAGGCGCGGCUAGUGGCCAAGGGCUAUACUCAGAAAGAAGGCGAAGAUUACUUUGACACCUAUUCACCCGUUGCUAGAAUGACCACCAUUCGAGUGUUACUUUCCUUGGCUGCCUCUUAUGGUCUUAUCAUUCAUCAAAUGGAUGUAAAGACAGCUUUUCUCAAUGGAGAGUUGGAAGAGGAGAUCUAUAUGGAUCAGCCUGACGGGUGUGUGGUAAAGGGUGAAGAGAGAAAGGUGUGCAAGUUGUUAAAAUCUUUGUAUGGUCUGAAACAGGCACCUAAGCAAUGGCAUGAGAAGUUUGAAAGAACUCUGACUUCUGCAGGAUUUGUCAUUAACGAGGCUGAUAGGUGUGUUUACUAUCGCCAUGGUGGGGGCAAUAGUGUCAUAUUAUGUUUGUAUGUGGACGACAUACUGAUCUUUGGUACAAACAUUAAUGCAAUUAAUGAGGUCAAGUCUUUUCUAUCAAAAAGUUUUGACAUGAAAGAUCUGGGAGAAGCCGAUGUAAUUCUAAACAUCAAACUUAUUAAGGAUGAGAGUGGGAUUACAUUAACGCAAUCUCACUAUGUUGAGAAGGUCUUGAACCGAUUCGGUUUUAUGGAUAGCAAGCCUUCUCCAACACCUUAUGAUCCCAGCAUGACACUCAGAAAGAACAAGAAAGAAACGAGAGAUCAAUUAAGAUACUCUCAAAUUGUCGGUUCACUCAUGUACUUAGCUAGCGCUACAAGACCAGAUAUCUCUUUUGCUGUGAGCAAACUGAGUAGGUUCAUGUCCAACCCGGGUGAUGAUCAUUGGCAUGCACUAGAAAGGGUCUUGCGCUAUCUGAGAGGUACUAUGAGUUACGGAAUUACUUAUUCAGGGCAUCCUGCUGUGCUAGAAGGAUAUAGUGAUUCAAAUUGGAUCUCCGAUGUUGAUGUACUUUACGCAACAAGUGGGUAUGUAUUUACUCAUGGUGGUGGCGCAGUGUCAUGGAGGUCUUGCAAGCAAACCAUAUUGACGAGGUCAACUACGGAAGCAGAAUUAACUGCUUUGGACACAGCUACUGUUGAGGCAGAAUGGCUGCGUGAGCUCUUGAUGGACUUGCCGGUUGUUGAAAAACCUGUACCGGCUAUUCUUAUGAAUUGUGAUAACCAAACGGUUAUCGCUAAAGUGAACAAUUCUAAAGAUAAUGCAAAGUCAUCAAGACACGUGAAAAGACGUUUGAAGUCUGUCAGGAAGUUGAGAAACUCCGGAGUAAUAACUGUUACGUAUAUACAAACAGACAAAAACCUAGCAGAUCCCUUUACAAAGGGACUAUCAUGA
rnacentral:rRNA from 1 species